rnacentral:lncRNA from 1 species
GCAGGUGUUUGAAUUAAUUAGUCAUAAAAUAUUUCAGAGCAACAAUUCCUUGGCAUCUGAUAAAAGAGAUAAUUUUGUAAUGGAUCACAGGAGAAAUAUUUUUUACCCAUGAAGAGUUUUCACUCUCCACAUUUUCAACUCUUUCCAAUUGGGAUGCAUUUUGCAAAGGAGAGCAAAUGCUAUUUAAUUGAUAAUGUUAAUUUUUCUUUCUUAGUGGUACAUAAUGAUUCAUUACUCACAGGAUGCUGUCUUAGUAAUAAAGAAACACAAUAGUUAAAAGAUAAAUGAAUACAUACACAGUAAAACUACCUGCUUAUGCAUAUCUACAUGAAUAAUAAAAUGAAAAAUAAAAGUACAGUAAUUGAAUACAUAAAUCCUGAGAGAAUAAAUACUUCUGAACACUUCAGGAUGCAACUUGGAGAGUCUGGCAAGAAAUCAAAUACACAUAAGCAUUUUAUCCCAACAGGUACAGAACAUACUUAAUGUGGAGUGUGAAGCUUAAAAAUUCUCAAGAUAAGCUUUUCUGUCUGUUAUUAACAUUUCCAUAAUCAAAAUUCUUUUUUCUUUUUCAUUGCUAUUUCCCUCACUUAUCCCCAUAUCUUUCAAAAGCCUUUAAAAUGGAAGUAACAGAAAUGCACAGUGUGGACCACAGAAGGAAGGGGGAAUUCCAUGAGGUGGCCCCAAGGGGCUGGGACAAACACAAGUCAGUCAGAUGGAAACAGCUGAUAUGUUUAUGUGACCACACUGUUUCUGCCUUAGCUCAUUUGACAGUCAAAUACACCUUUUAGACAGUUUUUGAACUGCAUGGUAAAGAAGAAUGUUUAAAGGCUGAUGUGCUAAGGGAUCUCAGGGGAAGUCCUGUGGCUUUGGGCAAUCAGCUGGGGAUUCCCCAAGCUUCAUUUCCCUUAUAUUAAAAAUUAGCAGUCUAAAGAGUUCACUGGGUAUACUA